rnacentral:misc_RNA from 1 species
UCCGGUUUGUCACCGGCAGUCUCAUUAGAGUGCCCAACUGAAUGUAGCAACUAAUGACAAGGGUUGCGCUCGUUGCGGGACUUAACCCAACAUCUCACGACACGAGCUGACGACAGCCAUGCAGCACCUGUGUUGCGGUUCCCUUUCGGGCACCAAGGUAUCUCUAUCCCGUUCCGCACAUGUCAAGGGUAGGUAAGGUUUUUCGUGUUGCAUCGAAUUAAUCCACAUAAUCCACCGCUUGUGCGGGUCCCCGUCAAUUCCUUUGAGUUUUAACCUUGCGGCCGUACUCCCCAGGCGGUCAACUUCACGCGUUAGCUUCGUUACCAAAUGCUUGCGCACCCAACAGCCAGUUCUCAUCGUUUAUGGCAUGGACUAC